rnacentral:lncRNA from 1 species
UUUAGAAAAGUUGAUAUCAUUCCACCUGCUACAAUUCCAAUUUAUGGCUACUAGAAAAUCAAGACAACACGAGCGAGCAGUGUUGCAUAUUUUUAUUCAUGAUUUAAUGGUUAUAAUUAAUAAAAAAAGUAAAUUUGUAAAAGUGAUUUUUUCUUCUUUUCAUUUCAUUAGAACUCAAAAACGCAAGAAAAGAAAAAUUUUAAAUUUUCUAUUAAAAACUCAGAAACAACACAAAGGAAAAUUUCAAGUUUUCUAUUCUUUUCUUUUAUGUUCUAAUUUAAGUUUCUAUUCUUUUCUUUUUCGUCCAAAACUGAUCAUAAACUUCCGUCCAUUUAUUUUAUUUUUCUGUCCAUUUUAAAACUCAGAAACAGAGUGUUAAUGAAAGAAAAUAUUUGUUUGGCUAGAAUAUAAUAUAAUAUAAUAUAGUAAUAGAUAAGGAGAAUAAAAAAAUGGAGCCGAAAGGAAUGACACCUGCAUUCUCGUUCGUAUAGGGAAUCCAGCCGAAAGGAAUCACAUACAUUUUACAACUCUUGCUAGCUACACCUUUCAUUAUUACUACUUAUUAUUAGUAUUUGAUUUAACCAACCAAACACAUUUCUUCUACAACAAAAUAAUUUAAUUACUACAUAUGAAAUGCAUAAGUAUUUAUAACAAAUACUGGAUAGUAUUUAAUAUCCCAAAACCUAUUAUUAUUACUAUUACUAGUAGUAUAUUGUUAUUACUCUACGUACUAAGUAAAUAAAUCUUCAGACCUGGCUAAUAGAGCCAUAACUACAACUGCGAGAGUAAUUAUCCAUGCACACACACACACAAUAUUUUCAUACGUACGCGGCAGAAAGAGCAUGGGUAGGUAGGUGUGAAUGAUUUUCAAAUUAAAUAUACUUCAUCCAUAUGCUUCAAUACUAGUUAGGAGUGGACGAUUAUUUCAAUAAUUUUUAAUUUCCAACUACUACUACUACUAAGCUCGUAAAAUUAACCAAAUAAUUUGAGCUUGAUUUGCAUGUACUCGAUUGUUCAACUCUAUUUCAAAUAUGAACAAAUUUUAAAGUUCGAUUAAUUACUCAAACCUCUUUCAACUGUAUUUUUUUAUUGAUAUUCAGAUCAUAUUCGCUCACUGCUCGGACGCAAUUCAGUAGCUUAACGAAUCUCAAUCAAACCGCGAUAAAUUUUAUGAAUCAAAUCUGAAUAAUUCAAUACUAAAUCCCUAACUAUAACUAUUACAAUGGGUUGCUUUAUGUAAUGUGGAAGGGAGAAAAAGAAUUUUUUAUUAUUUUAAAAAGACAUCAUAUAGGCUAAUUGCUACGUCUUUGUAGGUCUUGGUUGGAGGUUGCCCCUUAGGAUUUUCGAAAGGACAUGGAUGGAGUAAUGCUUGCUAGGUGGAUAAUUCGUCUAGACAAAAAAUUCAAAAACAAAAUAAUUAGACAGAAAAUUUAAAAACUGCUCUAAUUUUGCUGUUUGUUUGUGUACGUAAAAGAGAGAUUACAAAAGAGUUAUUUACUUUUUAAUUAAAUUCGUUCAUUUUUAGACGCAAGACUUUGGCAAAAAAUGUAUGUGAAGAAGAAUUAAAACCGUCUAGGAAAAGGUCAGUGCCUUUCAUCAUCUUUUAAUAUGCGUAAUACUGAUACUUUUAAUUGUAAUAUUAAAACUUACAGAGUAGUAUUAUUUGUAAUUAUUGUUUAUCUUAACCAUUUAAUUAAUUUGAUCGUUUUAGGAUCUGUAAACCCUGGAAUUUGAAAUAUUAUUGGGCAAUUGAAAUGUGAUUUUGAGGAAAUUAGUGUGGUUAUUACUACUAUAAAAUACUCCACUCCAUUAAAGAAAGGGAGAGAUUGUGAUUGCUUGCCUCUUUUUAUGAAAUUGUACGAUGUGAAUCAGAGCCUCAGAGGUGUAUGGAUUUGUGUGUUAGGAUUUUUUCAAGUGGCCAAAAUACCUCAAUGAUUUCUUGGUUUUUUGUCUUCUUUUUUUUUUUUUAACCUAAAUGGGUUUUUGUCAUUUUUGUUACGAGUUCCUUUAAUUUACCUAAUUCGAUUAGGUUGCAUUUGACUAUUCCUGCAUGAUUUCAAGCUUAACUUGCUCUCCUCUGUUUACAUGCUCUGCCAGCACUCAAUUGUUCUGUUAAGGCUUUGGCAUUACUGCUCGGUUUUCAAUUCUUAUUAUAAGAAUAAUACAUCCCUUUAUAUAAUUUCUUUUUGGAAAAUAGAGCAUGUCAGGUGCUGAGCCUCAUUCUUGUUUUGAAGAUCUUAAGGUUAUUCGUAGGCCUUUUCUACAAGCCUACAGUUGAGCUUCGUGAGUUAAGAAACUUAGGUAAUCCUGCAAAUACUAGACAAAAUUGAUUUCUUGAAUCUGGUUGAUUUAUAGUAUAGAGUACCUAUUAAUACUUAUGCAGCCUUUUUCCAGUUGUCAUCUAUGCAAAAAAGAAUAGAUUUUCUUCUAUUGAUCUUUCAUACUCCAAUUCGAAAUCCAUAAAUUUGCAUUUAGAAGGUCCUAAAUGGAAUAGUGGGUUCGAUUUUCUACUGAUUGUCAUAUUUAUGUUUAGAUGACUUGAAGUUUAGAAGUUGGCGUGAGCUUUGUGUACAUUACACAACAAUUGUCUGAGGUCUACUAGGUUAUUAUAGGCAUAUAUAAGUAAAGUAAGUGUUGAGACCUUAUAAGAAUGCAACCUAGGGAGGGAUGUUUUUAGCCCAGGGAAAAUUUUCACUAGAGAUGUCACUGUCUUCCGAGACAAACUGUAUUGGAUUUCUUAUGUUUAUGUAAAGCAACUUGGGAUGUUGGAUCCAAUUGAUCUUAAGAUCCAAAGCCAAUCAGUAAACAGUUGAAGUUGCCAGCUUGGAGGCCCUGCAGGCUGUUUGAGUGUAUGGAUCUUGUCCUUUUAGAUUUAUGAAGAAGUGUCUAAUGCGCUGAGAAGCUCGGAUAGUUCAUAGGAAAGGAAAGGAAAGUAUCUCAAUAUGUAUGUAAGUGGUAAAAGCUAAGCACCUACAUAUUUAUAAUCUGUUAAGUUGCUUCGUGUGUCUUUUUUAUGUGUAUAUGUAUACGUUUCUAACCUUCUUAGCUUAAGUUAUCAACUACCAAAAAAAAGCCUCAGGUAAAAGCCACUAGUAAAAUAGUGAUCACAGUAUAUUCUGUAGUGAAACUCAUAGACCCAAUCCUUGCUCUGUCACUCAAAAAUGGUGGCACAACACCCUUUCUGAUAGGGAUCAACCUAGUGCAGCAGUACUAGAAUUCAUAACCUACAGGCUAGUCACUCAUAUAUUAUGACCUUUUAGAUAAAUUAGUAUUUUGCUCUCAACUUAAAAGGUCCCUCACUUUGAAUGUCUUGUGCAUCUCUUAUCAUGAUGAUCAGAAAGGAAAUUCACACAUCUAAGGGUCAUAAGCUAAAGUAUCCCAAAGGGUGGCAAAUCUAUUUCAUUUCUAUCAGGGUCAGGAAUUGCAAGGCAUUCCCUUAUCGUAGGAGAAUCAAGAUGUGAUUGAGUUAAAUGAACACUGAAAAUGCACCAUUAACUCUAUAAUGCCUUUAAGAUGUCACUUGCUUAGCUGUGGAACAUAGGGAAGCACGAGACGUGAUCCAGAAGUUCAAGUAAAAGGGUGUGGCAUGUAUAUCCUUAGUUGGGAUAUCUGGUGUUGGGAAUCAUGCAUGCCCAAAUUUUAGGCAGUUAAAAUAGAAACUUUAGUUGUCUUUCAAAUUGUAAACCAUAUUAGGAAGUAUAAGCAAUGAAUUUGAUUAGGAUGAUGUUAUCAGCACCUCAAUUUCUAAGUCAACGAUAUCAGAUUUGUUAAUCCGUGUUAGUUCCUUAAGGUCUAUUGUAUACUUUUUACUCAAUAUAUUUUUCCUGCUUUCACAUGGAAUACAGAUCUUAUGAUGAUUUAUGAACAUGUUCAUUUUAAUCAAGCACAAUCAUACAUAAACCGUAAACAUUAGUUGUGGGGUUUUGGAUUAUGUCAUGCAAGGAUCCUUUUAUACCUUCCAUGUGCAAAUGAUUAACCCAAUGAAGUCAUUGAAGCUUUUAAUGAUUAUGAAUCUUUCUUUUCCCAGUAACAUUAUCAAAUGAACCAUGAGAGUGGAUAGCUCAUGUUUGAGCCUCGCACUCAUUAAUUUGCUUAUACGUAAGCUGCAUCUUGCAUUGCAGAAGGGAGAUGAUUCAGUGGAUCCUGACAGAUUUUUAAAGGAAAAUGCGAGAUCUUUUUUUGUCAUCAGUGUUUUAAAUCAUCAACUAAUUGUUGUCAUCCAUGGUAUGCAACUUCACGCCCAAGGUAUACAACUGGCUUUCGGAGAGCAUUUUUACGACAUGCUUUCUUGUUGAUCCAUAACUAGUUAAAAAACAAAAUCAUGGGGAAAAGUAGGCAUAUCUCUGAAUAGAAUGCUUGUAUUUUUAGAAUAAACGUUGUCUAUUAUAUUUCUCUCUUUUUAGCAAGCUUGUAAAAAAAAGGAGACAGACAAUAUGGGUAAGUAAAAAUUAAACUACACUCAUCUCCCAUGAAACUUGGAUCAUUGCAUCUAGCUGUGAUAUAUGCUACAUUAACCAAGUUUCACCUUCACCUUCAUAUAUGUUCAACACUGCAUAGCCAACAUAUGUUAGGGAUACACUUAAAUGGAUAAUCUGAACUACCCUAUAAAAUGAGUUGCUAGUUGCUAGUUGUUACUAGUUCAUGUUCUCUAGGAACUUAGUAGAUCAGUGCAUAUUUUGAUUGAAUACUAGCAGUUUUGACAUGGUAGCAUCUUAUUUCUUUUUAUAUUCUUCAUUUUAUUUUAUUUUUUCAUUUUUGGAAUUCAAGUAGGAAUAUCUGUUGUACUGUCAAUUGUGAUAUACUUUCUGGUAAUUUAAAGUGUGUACCAGAGUAACCAACCUUCAAGCAUAUGUUUUACCAAGUGCUGGAACAUAGUUUUCAAUUUCUUAUUAGAUUUAUUCCAAAUUAAAACAAAGAAGCAGUCCAACAAAAAGAUGAAUUCAAAAUUUUCAAAAACCUAGAAAGCCGAAAUGUUACAGGGGACUUUCUUGAUGGUGACAAUUGAUUCGAGGGAAUAUGAAAAAAUAAAGGUGAUGUAUUCCCAAUCUUCCAAUGUGAUAUUGAAUGUGUCUAAAGUUUAGUGUUUCACCUACUGUUUACCACUCCCUUUGCCUUUAUUUCCUUUGUUCCAGAUUCUCCCCUUGUCUUCCUGAUAAUGUCAGGCGAAACAACCUCCCCGGAAUCUUUACCUUGUGGUUCCUCACAGUUUUUCUUCUUCUCAACAGCUUUAGAAAAAACCUAGAGGAUUAGUCCCAUGAAACCAUGUGUUGACUCCCCCACACCUGGGCCUGGCCUCAGAAAAGGAAAAGAAGAAAAUUACUAUAUUAAUAAAGAAGGAACUUAAUCUGAAAAUACAUUGAAGUCCUCCUUGGUUCAAGAGUUGAAUGUUUUCGAACAAUGUUCCUAUCUAAUCAUGUUAACAUGAUAACUCUUCGAUUAUCAUAUGAAAACAAGAAGUAAAAAAACAAUGUUUAGAUAAUUACCUUAAAAUCAUUAAGUGGGUUGAAAAUGUGGAAAGAGUCUAGGGUCUGAAUGAUGUCAUUUGCCAUAUUGAUGUUUUCGAGUAAAAAGGGCUUUGAGAUUUUAAUGACUAGACUAGUGUUUUAUCUUUGAUAAUGUAUUUAAUGAAUUACUAAUAUCAUUGGGGCUGUAGUUUCGGCGAGGAAUCGGCCUUGUUUACCUCUUCGAGUUUCUCAGAAUGGAUUCCAAAUCCUCCGCUAGACUUGGGUACCAGUUACCUACAGAAGCAACAAUACCCCCAUCCUUUGCUCUCUCUCUCUCUGUCAUGGUCAUGGACCACUUUGUCUAAACCACCCUUUUUCUUUUUGAUUUACCCAAGAUUGUCACACUUUCAAAUAAAUUUAGCGGGUGGCAUUGGAAAAUAUUGGACUUGUUUAGCUAUUGAGAUUUGGAAAUCAAAAUUAAUUCCCUCUGUCACUACGUUAAUUCACUUGACACUUCCAAAGUAUUUUUGGGAAUAAUUGGUUAAGGUAAUUGAGGGUCUAUUUGAAACAACAAUUAGGCAGUCAAAGACUUCAUUUGACGUCUCUACUCGGAAAUGUACAUUGUUCAUUUUUAUGGCUUCUAAGUCAAUACUCUUAUGUUACGUUUAGAUCGAAGGAAUGGAAUGGAAUGGAGAGUGGAAUGAUUCAUUCUGUUUUAGUUGUAAUGAGUUAUUCUAUACUCUCUCUUCCCAAGUAAUAAAAUUCAUAAAUUUGAAAGGAAUACGAAUGGUUCAAUCAAUUCCAAUCGCAACCAAACACAAUUCUUUUCAUCCUAUGAGUCAUUCCAUUCUCACUUUAACAUUAGAUAUUUGCUAAUGCUCGAGGUCAUACCUUACCAAUUUUACUAACCAGAGUUUUCUUAAUGCUUGGAAGUUUUUCUUUUCUAAAUUGCACUUAUAGGUACUAUAUGUAAUCAAGAAGAGAGAAACACAAUUUUCUAAAGUCCUACUUUAAUUAGCUAAAGAAACAAGUUUAUACUUUAUUAUAAGAUCACUAAGGCCUGUUUCGUUUCACCCAUUAGAAAAGUGGUCCUACAAUAACCAAACAAGUCAUGUGUUGAGUCCCUGAUAGUGUAAACCCAAGAAAAAACAAAGGAAACAAUCCAACUUCAUUUAUAAUCUGCAAAGUGGUUUUCACUUUAUUGAAAUUACCUAACAUCCAGUGGCAGUUUGGUAAACAUGAUCCCUUUAUAAACCCAUUUGAACAAGACACACUAUCCCCUCCACAGAAAUGGCAGGUCCAUCUCAUCUAAAACCCCUUCACUCCCUUCAUGUUUUCUCCAUGAAAUCUCCAUCUUCUUCUACAGCCUUAAGCUCCAUGAAACUCAAAACUCUAGUUCAAACCUUCAUCUUGUCACACUUGUGCCGCAUCGCUCGUGCUGUCUCCAAAGCCAAGUCCAUCCUCAUUGAGGUCCUCAAAGAAAUCCAACUCAUACACUUGAUAGAACCCACAAAGAAGCACAAAAACAAGAAUAAACUAUUUUUUGGUUCGUUUAGGCUACACUACAAUUGGUGCUCCUCUCAUGUGUUACCGGUUCCCUCGCCGGGACUUGACGGGAUCCCCGGGAGCCAUUCGUACUACGAUGCCACGUGGAAUUCUAUCAUCUCACCGGGGUGCGAUGACAUGGAAGAAUCACAGCUUUCAGGGUACCUCCAAUGGCUUGAGCAGAAGGUUCAUGAGGACUCAAAAAACAAUGAUAUCAAUGAGAUUGAUAAGCUUGCUGAUAUGUUCAUUGCAAACUGCCAUGAGAAGUUCAAGUUGGAGAAACAAGAGUCCUAUAGGAUGUUUCAAGAAAUGAUGGCUAGAAGUGUGUGAGGGUCUUUUUAUUCUUUCAUGUUCUUUGUCACAUUGCGUAGGAAUGGGUUGGGAUUUAUUUAGUUACUUGUUUUACUUUUUCUUGUACAUGAUGGGGGUGUUGGAUUUGUGCAAUUCCUCUAUUGUGCAUGUUGAUAGGUGGUGCUUGUAAGGUUUCAUUUGGUGAAAUUGUGGAAUUCAUGCUUUCAUAACAACCCUUGAACCAACCGUCUUACUUUUUUUGAUAUGAAUUCUUAUUUUUUUCUGCUAUAGUUUCAUAUGUUAAUUUCAAAUUGUGCGUACACAUGAAAUUGUUUCAUCUAUCCUAUGUUGAAAUUUUUUCAUGAUUUUAAACUACUACUCUUUCUGCAUGUUAAGUCAUGUUCAUAGACCACCACCACCAUGUCAUUUUAAAAUUUCAAAUUAUAGCUCUUUAACUUUUUGUCCUUUUUCUUUUUCCCCUCGGCCCUCGCAUAGGAUAGAUAGAUAGAUAGAUAGAUGACACUGAAUAUGCUAAUCAAUUUGGUCCACAAUAUUUAUUAAGGUUGGACCGAGUAUACUGACAGCUCCCCUCUUUUUGGUGAGAUUAUUUGGAUUUAUCUAUUUAUCUCACUCACGCCGCACUGCAGUUUAGUCUAAGCUCUCUUUCAUGCAUAGCUUGGUUGCAGUAUGGGACCCAAAAUGAUGUUUUAAUUUCUAUAAUUCUAUUUCUAUUUGUUUGUUUAGAUAUGCAAGCCACUACUACUGAUGUAGAAAUUUUUAAUUGCAAUAACCUUUAUGUACAAAACUAAAGAUUAUCGUGUGUGUUCAAAAAUUAACCUGUAUUUCAAUGUGUGGCUUAUGUACGUAGUUCCAUUGGGCAUUGGAUGUUUUGUUUUUUAUGUGAUUGCCCUUGGCAUGAUGGUUGCGUGCAAGUGAAAUUGAUUUGAAUAUCACGACCGAUAACUUCUCUUGGUUUGUGCCUAAAUUCUGAAUCCUAUAUUGGUUUAACACUUGGAGUAGAUUGAAGGGUAUAUUUAAAAUGGUUUGGUGAAGAACAAGUCAAACAAGGUGAAAAAUCUUCAUACAUAUCUCUAUUUUCAACUACUACUCCAUAAAUAAAUAAAUAAUAAUUUACACCAUGAUUCACCAAGUACUGAUCACUAUACAUGUUCCAUCAAUUCAAUCAUCUAACCCAAAUCAAACUUUCUCUUUCAACCUCUUGGCCAGAUCUUAACCAAAAUUUACAUCAUCAUCCAUAUUUUCUGUAGUCUUUCUUUUCGAGAUAUAUAUGAAAUAUGAUUACUUUUCUAAAUUUUGUGCAAUAUUUCAAGUAAAAACGAUAGGUUAGAACAUGCAAAAAAAUUUCUCCCCUCCCAAUCAAUGAUAUUAAGACUGUUAAAUUAUAAUUUCGGGAAUCAGAACAAGAUAUUUUGGAUUAAUAGUCAAGUAUAAUUUUUGCAAACAAACAUAGCCUAAGUAGCUCUAGAGGUGAUUAGCUAGCUAAUUGGCAUAUUAAAAUAUACUACAUAUCUAUCUCUGUUUGUGCAUGAUUUUGUCUUAUAAGAUGAAUAAGAAGAGAGGAAAAAAUCUUACGGAAAGCUUCUUCCUAAAGAAUGUCCCUAGUAGCACAUGAAUUGUGACAGCAGCUCAGGAUUCCUUAAGAGUUUUAACAUGGGAGUACACUAUAAAUGCAAAUGCAUGGAAAGGUUGGACCACUAGCUAGUGGAAUUUACCUUUCAACUGAUUGUGACUCUAAUCCAAAACAAUACUUUCCUUUCUUUUCAUCUCCUACCUACUGAUUAAGGACAUAACAAUCUUGGGUCAGAUAAUAAUUAAUCAAUAUAUAAUGCAUACUACUUGUAUUGAAUGUGCAUGCGAAUAUUCAGAAUCUAUCUAGCUACCAUUUGGCAUAUGAUUAAUCAUCUAUUGAUAAUGGAUAUCUCGACUUAAUUCCCACUUGUUUUGUUUAAUUUGGAGUAGAAUUUUGGUCAAGUGGUAAUAAAAGAAUUGUGUAUAUUUAGUAUUAGUACUUCAUUUAUGUGAAUAAGAUGUGCCCACAACAGCGACCAAAUAUGCCGAAAACUUUAUUUUUAUGUCCUGCAGACUGCAGUGCAGGGAGGGAGCUUGCUAGCUUGUGAUUCUUUUACAUAAACCCUCGCCCUUUUUUUGCUAGUAUUAUGUAUGUAUGUUGCAUUUACUAAUUCAUAGUCCCAAAAGUUAUUGGCAAUUCAUAAAUAAAGCGUUUUAAAAGGUCCCCAUUUUUCCUGUCUUCCUUGUGUCCCUCUAUUUAAAUUUUGACAUCAAGCCUAUUAUUUAAUUUUAAAAUUAAUUAAUGUUAAAUAAGAAGUUAGAUGUCAAAAUUUAAAUGAAGGAAUACAAGGAGACAGAGAAAAUGGGGAUAAAGCAUCUGGUCUCGAGGUGGGGGUGUUAUUCAUGCCACUUUUUAUCUCAAUUGCUGCUUCUUUAUUCCUUUUGCUUUCUACUAACAUAUAUAUAUAUAUAUAUAUAUAUAUAUAUAUAUAUAUAAUUCAUAACCAACAUCAUAUAAAUACAACCGUUCACGCAUAUAAUGAUUAAUUAAUACUAUGUGUUCGCACAAUAUUAUUACAACCGACAGAGUAAUCAUCAUAACAAUUGUGCAAAUGGUAUUAUUAGGCUCAAAAUAUUAAUAGAUAAAAUUAUGAAUUAUGAAUAUUUAAUUUUUAUGUUCAAAAAAAUUAUAAUAUUCGUAUAGAAUUUUAUAUAUAUAUAUAUAUAUGAGAGAGAGAGAGAUACAUAGCUUCUUUAAGCCUAAUUGGUUCCUUUGGUCUCCCAGAGCCUUUGCUUUUCAUCUUUAAUUUUAUAAACUUUCUUUACAUGUAUCUACUAGUUUAGAUUUCAUUCCUCUUGUUGUUGGGACAAGUUUUGGAAGUGGAGUUACUAACAUGUUAUUUUGGGCCAUGCACAAUUUUGGAGAUGGUAGUCCAAACCAAACCUCAAAUACUAGAGCGCUAAAGUAAAUGAAUCAAAUUUAAUCGAGUAUUGAGUUAUUUAUAUUUGGUUUAUAAAAUUUAUCAAAUAUGAAAUAAAGUUUGAUUAAGGCUCGUUCAGCUACCGAGUCAAACACGAUCUCGAAUUAAACCCGGACAGUUUGAACUUUUUGAUAUUAAUAUAAAAUUAUAAUUUGAAAAAGUUCGAGUAAUUUAUCGAAUUUUAAAAUUUACUCAUGUUUGAAUCAUUUAUAUUUCAAAUUGAGAUCGAAUCGAACUUUUAAUCGUACGAAUCGAGUUCGAACUAUUUGAUUCAUUUACGACCUUAACUACUAGAUAUAAAAGUGAAUAAAUGACUUGUUAAGGAGUGCCAUUGGGCUAAAUGGUCUUGGCCCGAAAUUUCAUUGGACCAAGAGCCCAAUGCCCAAAGGAACAACAAUAGGGUAAGGGCCCGUUGAGUGUAAAUAAAAAUAGGAAAGUAAAAAAGGUUCACAAUUUUGUUUAAGGAAUGGACUAGACUAAUAUUUACUGUCCCACUUAUUUUUGAUGAUGUUGAACAGUAAAAGUGUAGAUCUUCUUCACUAGUAGUGACUUCAACUUCAAGGGCCUAGUGUAAAGGAAUUAGUUCCCAAAUGUCCAAUCCAGCUUUGCGCAUAGUCUUCAAACCUUAAACCUCGUGAGUCGUGCCCCUUCCGGUCCUGGAUCCUCCUAUUGUAAUUUUACCUUAUUUUAAAAUUCAAUUUAUAGAAUUUAAAAUUUAAUUUUAAUUCAUAUAAUUUUCUUUUGAAAAAUUCUGAAUACUUUGAAGUAAUAAAAAAAAAUACCAAUGAUUGUAAUUUAUAUAAUUCAAAAAAUAAAUAAAUUCAUAUUACUUUUAAAUUUUAAAUUUUCUUCUUAAAGUCAAAAUGGAACUCUUACAUCCUAUGUACCAAACAAGUCUAACAACACACAAAAAUAAUUUUUAUUUUCCAUUCUAAUUUUUUUUUACAAAAAAUAAAAAUAAAUUACAUUCUCACAUCCUUAAAAAUGUAAAAAUAAAAAAAAUAAACAACAAUUGUUGGUAGGGGUGAACAUGAUGCGGUUUGAAACCCAAAUCGCAUACAAAACUGCUUAGGUGCGGUUUAUCAAAUCCAAAAUCGCACAUAAAAUCGCUUGUGAUUAGUGCGGUGCAGUUUCAUUUGGUGCGGUUUCGAUUCCAAAAUCAAUUGAAACAACAAAAUUUUAUGAAAUUUAAAUUAAUAAUUUAGCAUCACGCAAUAUUAAAUACCACUUUGAUAACACACACAGCCUUGCUUAUAAUAUUUUGUCUAAACAAAAGCUAAAUAUAAUAGAGUAAUAUGAUAUAAAUUAUUAGAGUAGAAUAUAGUUGAGUAAACAAAAGUUAAAUAUAAUUUUUGCUACUCUACUCUUAAUAACAAUAUGUUGUAAUAUUCUUAGUAACAAUAUGUUGUAAUAAUUUAUAAUAUAAAGAGUCAAUAAUAAGAGCAUUAACAACAGUUUUUCUAAUUAAUUCUCUAUCCCCAAUUUUGAAGAAUACAUUAACAAAUCAUUAUCCAACAGUUUUCUUAUCUUUAUUUGACUCUCUAUUUUAAUCCCUAUAUAGGAUUUUACUCCCCCGUGUGAGGGAAUCAAAAGACCGUUCUCUAUAUAUACAAAAUGACAUUUCACACCCUCAUUUAAGUGGACAACUCAUCAAUCAUACACAUCUUGACAUUUUUUUACUACAUAUUCAAAUUAUAAACUUAAUAUUUAUUUUUUUAAAAUAAUUAAUUUCAAACGUAUUCAAAUUUAAAAUUGAUAUAAAUUUAUUUAAUUUAUGUCAAUAUAAUUAUAAAUGUUAUAAAAUUACUAUUAAUUAUAAAAUUUAUUAUUUUUAAAAUUUAAAUGAAUCAUAUUAAAUUUAAAAAUAUCACAAAUUAACUUUUUAAAUUUUAAUAUAUAUUUUAUGUAUAUUUGUAAUUAUAAUCCAUUCAAUAUUCACUCUAUAAAUUACUUAAAAUUUAAAAUAAAAAUUAUUUUACAGUGGAAUAUAAUUGAUAAAUACUCUCUUUUAAUUAUAAAUUAUAAAAUUAUUAUUAAUUUAAUGUUUUGACUGUUGGAACUUUUAAAUUUUAAAUUUUAUUAUUUAAAGAAUCAAUAUAAGGAACCUAUUGGGUACAUAGUGAGAAAAUUGAAUUUCUAUUUUGCAGAAUGACUCAAAUGACACUGCAGAAUAGGGAUAAAAAUAAGAAAACUGUUGUGAAUGCUCUAAUAUGUUAAUAUGGUGCGAUUUCGGUUUUAUGCGUGCGAUUACCAAAUUGAAACCGUAAAUUUAAUUUUUUAACCUACAUAAAAUCGUCACAUACGUCGAAACUAUUGGUACAAUUUUAAUUGGUAUAGUUUAUGCGAUUUUUAGUGUGAUUUUGAUUUAAAUUUGGUUUUUUGCUCGGUUAGGGAGCUGCGCAAUUGUGAGAAACUUUGGGGGUUUGUUGGUAAAAUCAUCCCGCCCCAGCCGUGUAAAAAAAAAACAGAAGAUACAGCCUAGCCUUAUAGCCUAUAAAUUGAAAACGAGGGCGGAGGGAGGUGAGCUGAAAUCCAAUUAAUUAGGCAGGAAUCUCCAUUCCGUUGAAUUUUAAUUCCCCUCCCCAAAGGGUUGAAUAGGCAUCGCUCAUAAACCCUCUCCUUUUAAUUCCCCUCCCCUUUUCACUCUCAUUUUUGCGACCCUCUCUAUAAAUUUCAGCUGCUUCAAGAUAAAAUCUUUUUUCAAACAUACACAGUUGCUCUUAUUUCUAGGGUUUUGUAUAUCUAUAUCUUAUAAGAUAUUCAGGUGUUGCAAUUUGUCUAUGGAAUAUGACCACCCCAACAGCAGCGGUGAGUUCAUCAUAACACUACUGUGUACAUGUGUGUAUUUGUAUAUUGCUAGACAAAUUGCAUUGUUGAGUUUAUGCAACAAUUUUUAACUGGGCAUUUAAUUAUUAUCCAUCCCUUUUUCGUUCAAUAUGUUAAUUUAAUGUAACUUCUUUUUUCCGGUGUGUAAUUUGGGUUGAAAAGAUACCGGAUUUCGUCUUAUAAUGCGUUUGCAUUAGAAUCUUUUUGGGCACAGUUCUUUAAUGUAACCUAAAUUUAUAGUGCUUAAGCACAUUGAAAAGGUGGUUUGAUAAAACCAAACACAUUAUAUUUUAUUUACUCGUUUUUGGAUAUAAAUGAAAUGGGUUUUUCCACUUGAUGCUGAUGUGUUGUUUAGACUUUAGAGGAACAUGAAUGUCAAAUAACUGGUUAACUUCGGUGACACUUAUUUUGGGCAACUGGUGAAAUUGCAUGUUUUUGUAGAGAGGUGCAACUAGAGUAGGAUAAAAUGUUCCAUGGACCAGUUUGUGAUAUUGAAAUCUGUUAAUGAGAGCUUUGCUAGACUCUGUACCCAAUGUAGAAUGUAUAUGGAAUAGUUCAGAUGUCAUACGAGAGCUUCAAACUGGGUGCGAAGUUGACAUAGGGACAGUACCACAGCAUGCAGCCAUACACAGGCUCGCAAAUUUCCGUCGAGUUUGCAGAGGUUUACUUGUCAUUUUUAUCCUCCUUUAAUUAUUUAUAAGGAUCAGAAGAUAAAUGUUUAUAUUUCUGUGUGUUCACACAUGCAUGCCUUCAUAAGAUGUACUCUGAAACUAAUGCUACCAAAUGGGAGCAUCAUCUCUUUGUACUUAAGGAUCUAUCUGAAGAUAGAACAUUUACAAGCACAAGUAGCAAGGCAUUUGAAUCCUCCCUUUAAUAUUAGUGUUCUACAAAGUAGACAAUAGACAUUAAUUGACAAAAAAACUUACACAUUUACUUCUGAAUUUCCAAUUCCUGUAGGAAUGUUGAGACAUCCUUUCUUAGAAAAUAUAUGGCUUUCAAUGGAAACCUUCAACACUGAUUUAAAAUAUACUUUCUGUACUCAUGGCUUUUCCGACAAAAAGUUUAACUUUUCUUAUUUUAGUUUUAAAGAUAUUGCCUUCUAGAAUAGAUUUCAGUCACUUUCAUUAAUUCAUGACUUUCUGUACCAUCAAAUGCCUUUAAAUGCCCUUCUGGAUUAACAGGACGGGAAAGGAAGGAAAUUUUAGGUAGAUGGCUGUGAUAAUUUCUUCACUUGUGAUAACUGAGGAGAAAGUUGGAAAAAGUACAAUUGUUUGAUGAAGCAGAGGGGAGGUAAAGUAAGUCAAUGAUAACACUUUUAUUUUGGUGAUCAACAGCAGAAGAAAGGGAAAGUUUGUUGCUACCGAAAUUAGUGUGAAAUGGGGAAUCACAGCUACCUUCCCUUCCCUUCCCUUCCCUUCCUAAACUUUCCAGAAGAUAGAAACUAGGAAAAUGGGUUAUCACAGCUCCCUUCCACUCCUAAACUUUUAAGGAUAAAAAAAAAUUACGACAGGUUUUGAUCAUUCGAAUUAUAUUCAUAUCUCUCUUUCUCUCCUUUUCUUAAAACCCAAAUGCAAUAUUCAAAAAGCUUCUUUGUUCCUCUGUUCCAUCUUCACAAGGCUGAGCAAGUCUUUUACCUUAUAUUACAAGAUUUUGGAUGUUAAAGUACUAUCCGUGGGUGUUAUGUGACUCCCCUUGGUUUAGCAUCCCCAAGUAGUUUCCUAUUUUUUUAGUUAUUUGAUUCAAGAGUUGAAACUUGACCUCUUAUAUGUGAUUUAGUUGAUAUCAAAUCCAUAAAUAGUAGAUUUAGGUUUGUAGUCCAUAUUUUCUCAACCGGGCUUCUUUCUCCUGCUUUCUUCCAUUCCUUUAUCAUUAUUAUUAUUAUUAUUAUUAUUAUUAUUAUUAUUAUUAUUAUUAUUAUUAUUUAUUUUUAUUUAUUUAUUUAUUUUAUUGUUUUUGUGUGUCUGUAAUUACAAUUGACAACUGCAUGGACAUUGCGCAAAGUGGGUCUUAAUAAUUUUCUAAGUGUAUAACUUGAAAAACUUCAGGAAAAGAAAGUUUAAAAGGAAAUGAAAUCUAAUAAUUUAUUGGAUAUUUCUUAACGAUGAUCUAUAUUUUAACAUUGAUCUAUAAUCUAGAGCCAUUAAGAUCUUUUGAAGUAUAGAUAAUUAGAGCCAUUAAGAUAUCCCCCCUAUUUACAUGUAUUUUUGCUUUCUUGUUCCUUUGCUUUUCCCUACAUACCCUAAUUCAUUGUUUGUUAGCAUUCGUUGUUCUUUCCUUUUUGAUAAAUUGCUGAUUAGCACUACUUUACCUUAUGGGAUAUGGUUUCCCCCAUAAUUUGACUUGAAAACUAUUCCCUCUUGUUGUGUGAGGUUGUCGCAUGAUAGAGACCGCUUUGGUGAGCUAUGAUUAAUAUUGUUUUUACUAUGUUUUUUGAAAGACAUUGUUGGUUAAACUAUCCAUAAUUAAUAGGCCUUGGGAGUUUUAUGAUGAAGUGUCUAUUGCUUACACAAUCUCAAUGUUCUCAGUAACCAACUUUGAGUGAGUUCUCUUUGUAUUAGGCUAUUAGCUCUUCAUUUGAUAAUUAAAUAUGUUUUGUAUUAGGCUAUUAGCUAUUCAAUUGAUAAUUAAAUAUGUUUUGGAGACAUGCUUUGUAUAGUUUAAUGUUUGUAUAAAUAUUCAACAUAUGUAGUUCAUUUAGUGCACCUUGACCUUUGAAAACAAUGUGCUUUACUAUUUUAAUAAGUAUAGUCCUAUAAAUACAUGUCAUUAUAGCAAAAUCUUGCUGCAUUUUCUUAUCAGGUGAUGAUGGAAAUUUAUACUUAUUAUGGUAGCACAAUUUCCAGGAAUCAGUUAAUCAAAGGAUGAACAACCACUGGGUUCUUCAAUAACGUCAAGUCUAAAGAGGUUUAUAGAAGAUGUAAUUAACAUGGUUAUUUUGGUUUUGGGGUAGGGGGGUUUAACUUUAAGAUUUCUGGACAUGGAAAAAUAAGACCUUCGAGUUUCAAGUAAACUAGUUUUGUUAAUGAGUUUUGGAGAAGAAAAGAAGAGUAUAGAUGAAAAGGUAGAAUGCUGUCUUUGUUUUGGUGGGGGGCAGGGGAUGUCCUAGUUAAAUUUUACCUCAAGUCUUUAUAUAAACUCUGGGUAAUCCCAUAACUACCUUGUUAAAUCAUAUUAAAAAUAAUUGUAGGUACUGAUGAUGAUAUUCCUCCAUCACAUUGUGAUAGAAUUCCAAUAGGGGGACAUUAUACAGUAAACGGAAGAUCUGCUGUAAGCUCAGUCUCGUACCCAAGGAUGCAACUUGACAUGGAAUCCCAAAUCCACCAGCUUGAGCAAGAAGCAUACGGUUCAGUCCUACGGGCCUUUAAAGCACAGUCUGAUGCCAUAUCAUGGGUAAAUCCUGCUUUCAUCGCAUGUUUUUUCAUAUACUUUUUGUCUUUCUUUCUAUUAUCGAUUAGCUGAAAUGCUUCAUGAUAUGUUUCCUCAGGAAAAGGAAGGACUAAUAACAGAACUUCGUAAAGAACUAAGAGUGUCAGAUGACGAACAUAGGGAGCUACUCACAAAGGUUAAUGCUGAUGACAUCAUUUGUAGGAUAAGGGAGUGGAGAAAAGCAGGUGAGAACCACACUUUGUUCAAUGUCUCCCAACCUAUGCUUGAUUUGCUACCCAGUCCAACAGUUUCAGCACCUUGGAAGAAACAAAAGACAUCUCAAUCAGUACCUCUAGCAUUUGGCGCACCAAUUCAUGGCUCACACAAUCAAUCAAAUACUGCAAUUACACAGCCAUCAUCUGCUGCUGCAAAAUGGGCACCUUCUUUUGGUGCUGGUGGGAAAAAGCCUAAGCCUGUAUGUUAUUCAAUAUGUGAUGUUGCUUAGAGCGCAGGAAGAAAAGGAUUAUAGAUUGACGUCUAUUUGAUCUUGUUUCUUAAUAGGGGCAGCAAGUGCCUGGUUUGUCCUCAAUGAUGAACACACAGUACCCUUCUACAGGUCCAACUUCAAGGGGUCUGCUCUCUAACAAUUAUGGAUCUUCUUCCAUUCUUUUGACGAAUGACCAUGCCGAAGCAGCAAGACGUGAUCCACUAAUCGGAAGGAAAGUGAUGACCAGAUGGCCUGAAGACAACAACUUUUAUGAGGCUGUCAUAACUGAUUUCAACCCUCAAGAGGUAUGUUCAAGAUACUGAGUAUUUGUUUACUCAACUUUCCUGAGUUCAUUGUGAUCAUGUAUAAUCUUCUAGAAUAUUUAUUCUGUAAAUCUCUUAUUUUUUCUGUGUACAUGUACUUGGUAGACUCUUCAUGUCAUUCACUUUUUGUUAGACUUUAACAAAGCUUUUUCAAAAUAUUUCAAAAUCGGCUACUACAUUGGCUCAACAGUGUUCAAUGACAAUUUUAAGCAAAUACUAGUGUGUGUGUGGUUUUGUAUUUCAUAAGAAGCAAUGUUUAUUAAGCUCCCUCCCUUUGUCCUGUGUGUGAGUGUGCUGGAUGUUCUGUCAUCUUGUAACUUGUAUGCUUCUAAUCAGAUAUUUCACUUUGUCAAAUUUUCAAUGACAUGUUUUCAAUACUGCGCAAAUUAUAUAGUGAUCCCCCUUUUAUGUUGUUUCAUUGUUUUUCAGGGUCGGCAUGCUCUGGUCUAUUACAGAAAUACCCCGAAAGAGGCUUGGGAAUGGGUUGAUCUCAAAGAGGCAAGUGUCAUUCUUUAGCAUCAGCUAAAACAUCCAUUUGCCCCAUUUUGGUAACUGUUUUUGUACAUCAAGCAAUUAAAAAAUAAGUAAUUUGACAUUUUAGUAUUUCUUGGUACAGUUUUAUCAAUAUGAUCUUCAACUAAGACUCUAAGAUGCUUCAAACCAUCAGCCUGGAUUUGGAAACUAAAUCCAUGUUGCUGACCUCUUGUAAGGUCGGCAAAGCUUCUGUGACAGGAGUAAUUUUAUGUUCUUUUUAAAGAGCUUUAAACUAUCUCUCCCUCUCCCCCUCCCUCUAAUAAAUACUUGAGGAAAUUACAACAUAUAUAUUGGAGUGAAUAAAACCUUAUAACUCGAGACUAUAAUUAAGUAAUGAAACUAAAAUACCCAAAGAACACUAAUUGACAAAACUACUCUAGGCACUUAAAAAUCCCUAAUGACUGAAGAUUACUGCAUAAAUAAAACCAAUUUUUUUUAACCUAAGCCUGAUCAUACUGAAGUAGAGAAUCCACGAGGAUUUACGAUAAUUUUGGUAUGCAUCCUGCAUCACCUUGUGCAAUCUAGUCGUUGGGUGAAAUCCAAUAUUGAAGCUUUCAGUUGUUGCUACAGUCUGAAUGCGGAUGAGCAGGUUACUGCCAUAACUUUGUAUAUAUAUUGGGUUAUUGGUUGAGAAAUCAAACGUUUACAUUUUUCUUAUGGUUUGUUUAUAAGAAGAAUUUGCUGCCUUUCAUGCAUCGUUGUCCUAUUAAAAAAAGUUCCUUACUCAUUUGUAUUCCAUUUCUUUGUAUUUUCCCCAACUUCAUCUAGUUCUGUUGUUAUAGUGAAAGCUUGUCUUAUAUUGUAUUCUCCAAGAUAUAUGAACUUUGAAGUGCCUCUCCACUCAUUGCAAGGUAGUUCUGGUUGGAUGCCAUGACAUGGUAGUAACUGCAUUUUAUGGAUGCCCAUGUUUUCAGUCUCACAGUCAUUUGGUUUUGUCCUUCUGAGAAAAUAUAAGUGGGUACGCCUCGUUACCCACUGCCACUUGGUUUGGGUUCGGAUGCCUUAAUCCAUCCAGUGUCCAUUUUUUUUAAAAUUAUAAUUGUAAUAAUCCUGACAGGUCCCCUCUUGCACCUUUGCACAUUGAAAUGUUGGUGCAUUUUCAAUUUCAAAAAAAUACAUAUGUGAAAUGUUUAAAAUCAUUGCCUUGUUCCUCUCCCCCCUUCCUUUCUCUUUUCUUUUGUUAAAGAUUUAAUGCUAUUCUGUUUCUCAUACAUCAAGUUUGCCAUACUCUUUCCAUAUUUGAUUUGUGAUUCUAAAUGUGUGUUGACAUAUUUGUCUAAAUUUAGAAAUAGUAAAGGUGAAAUUUGGUCCAAUAAAUUUAAAGUUUGGUGGUGGCAAGCGAUCUUAUGCUCAAUAUAUCCUUGAUAGCUCAAGCUCUCUUAUGAAGUCUUUCCAAAUUCCAAAGGCUCUGGCUAAUCUGUUAUAUGUAACUUAAUAUGUUUUAGAUCUUUCUGCCACUUCUAGUGAGUAAAGGUUGACCUACACACGAGAGUUUCUUUUUUAUCCACUUUCAUGGAAGGGAUACCUUUUAUUGGAAUUUUUUUUGAACGAAUGACUUCCAAAAUUGUCAAUAAUGUUUAGGAAAUGUGAAAGGUGGAAACAUGCAGAAUUUGUGGCCUCUCAGAUAUUUUUUAAUCUUGUUUGAUAUUUUGGAUUGCCCACAUUGGCAUUUUCUUUUUUCCAUUAUCAACUUGGCUUGAUUGGUUUUGAUAUUUUUUUAAUUUAGAAUAUCUUCCUUAUGGCAGAUUCCUGCUGACGAUAUUAGGUGGGUUGAUGAGGAUCCAGGAUUAUCUCAUCAAAGCGGACUUGGUGUACAAGGUUCUGGAGAUGAGAAUCAUGUGAGCGCUGGAACUUAUCCAAAUUCUAGAAGAGGAAAUGGGGCCAUGAUGGAUCAGUUAGAGAAAGAACUCCCACCCUCACAGAAUGGUGGCGUAAAGAAGGCUUCAGAUGAUAUUGAAAUACUUCACACAGAAACUCUAAUAAAGGAGGCAUUUCUUUUAAAGAUCUUGAGCCUCCUCAUACCACAGUAUGUCAAUUUUCAUGUGUUUUUUGUCCUUCCUUUUAAUAACAGGUGCAGAAAGUGUUGGGUGCAAAUCACCCUGAUCUGCUUGGAAUUGGAAAGGCAAAGAAAAUGCUUAAGGUUGAAACUGACUACAUUUGAAGCAAUUUUAAGUUGUGUUCCUCAUCACUUGUCAAUGAUCAUUGGGUUGUUACUAAUAAUGCAGGAGCAUGAACAAGCACUAAUGGAUGUCAUUUCAAAGCUUGCAGAUGCAUCGGAUAGCGAAAGUGGUAAUAAAUACAUUUUCACAUGACUACUUCAUUUGGACUUUGUUGUAUAUACUCUGCACAUAAAUUGACCCUUGUACCAAUUGAAAUUGUGUCACUGUAUAUGUAACAGAAUUAAUGUUUAUUCUGGUGUGAAAACUAUACUUGUUUGUGUUAAGUAUGAUUUUUCUAUUUCAUUUUAUCAAGUAGAACUUUGUUGGAUCUACUGCCAAUUUGUUUCUUGUUAUUGGAUUUUUUCUUUCCGGUAAAAGGAGAGGAUCACUUCAUACCCAUGAAAGUAUGAUUUUGCACUUUUUGCGCCAUAUGGUUCAAGAAUGUAAAACAAACUUAUAAUAGGCCUAGUACAAUUUUAAGUUGAAAGAUAUUGAGGACAUUGUCAAUAUUCCACUUUCAUUCCUAUGGGGCCUCAUAUUUUAUACAUAAUUCAGUGAAAUACCUUUGAUGUUUUGAUUUUUGUAUUAGGGUUAAAUUUUUUUUAUUGCUAGUUUCAGAAGGAAAUUUAGACUGUUCUUUCCUGAAAUCCCAGUCAAGGGUCUAAAGUUUCUUUUUCUUUAUAUUGCUAUGGUUUAAAAUUAGAUGGAGUGCAACGAUCCCCACAUGGACAAUCGAUCAACGGAGAACAAAGAUGGAGAAAUGCCCUAUACAGUGGUAACAGCCGUGGUCCUUGCUCUGAAGUUGAGACGAGGGGAGGUAGAGCAAAUGGGUCUGUUAUGGCAAGUGGGUGUCCAACGGCAUCAGAUAAUCAGCAAGAUGAUGAUAUUGUUGACAUCUGAUUGUUACAUGUACUUUUAUAUAUGUUUUCUUUGGGAUACGCAAGUACUUUACCUGUUUAUUGUUCAAGUUGGAACUUGAAAGAAAACACCUUAAAAGUACCUUUUAGUGUUUCAUGUCCAAUUUGGAAAAAUACGCCUCACUCAUCUUACUGUCUACUGAAUUUUGCAUUUAUGCUAUUGUAAAUAUAGAUUCUAUAACAAAAUUAUGUAUUGGAAGUAGGUAACUUGUCUCGAUCUUAAGAUUUUUCUGUUCUCAAUGUUGUAUGUUGCACAUAUUAAGAUAAUGUACUGAGCUGAAUAAAAUGAUGUUCCUCUUAACAAGGACUGGAUACAGACAACUAAUAUGCAAUUCACAUAGCAGUUUUUAUACAGUCUCUUUUUGCUCAUCACUUACAAUAGGUCCUAUGAAUGAAGUAGCUGCUGGUCUUCUCUUUUUGAAGUUUUGGAACCCAAAAAAAAAAGGUACAAGCAGAUAAGCUUUGCCGUAAUAAUAUUUUAGGUAUAAUACCUUCACCUUGUGCUAUGAACCAUAUGAUCUUAUAACCAGAUUUUCUGUGCGACUUGACCAUUUAAAGGCUCACAAUGAUGAAAUGAAUGUUGCGAUGAGGUUUGCCAUUUGAGCAUCGUAAGUAGGGCCCUCCAUUUGAAAGUGACUAGCUCCUUCAAUUAGGUGGGUAUCUACACGGCCUGUUGCAGAUUUCAAUUUGUUCUCCAACUGUUUCACGCUUGUGAAUCCAUCCCUAGUCCCCAUAACAAAUAGCUUUGGUUUUGGAGACUGUAAUAUGGCCUUGUGGUGUCUCCCAAAGAGAAUAGAAGAAGUUAAGCCGAAAGGAUAGCCCAAACUAACAUAACCAACAACUUCCUCAACCUGAUCAACUGCGGAUCCAGCAAUAGGUGCACCUGUUUCAAUACAGAGAGUUUUAAGAACACAUAAUAUAUAUGACUGAGCAUCAUAUCUUUGAAAGAAAAAUAGGUUCCGAAAUCUUGCACAACUAGAUUGUCAAUUUUUCACCAACCACCAAGUUCAUCCUUGAUUUAUGAAUGCAGCAACUACCACCCUUGGUUUAUGAAUGCAGCAGUUGCAAACCCUAUUUUUGCUCCAGUGCUAUUAAAUGCUAUGUAGCAAAAAUAGCAAUAGUUUCAGUCAUAAUAUAUGCAGCUAUACAUUAUAUUAGAUUUACUUAUGAUGAGUUUAUUGGAAAUAUUUUAUAAGAGAAAAUACAUCUAUUUUUUGCGUCUCCUUCGUGUCUAUCUCAUACUUGGGAUUUUAUUGUAUCCGGUCAUUCCAUAUUAAUUUCCUAUAUAUUUGAAAGAUGAUGAUAAGUGUGCUUUCCAGCAGAUGAUAAGUGUGCUUUCCAGCAGAUAAUAACAGUGCUGGGCCAAUGACCCUCAAAGUUCAAACAAGAUACACUAGCACAUAAAAGGAAAUCAGGAACACACUCUAUCAAGAAGACCGUCACUAAUUAAGUUCAUGUAUUUUUCUACAUUCACUGGAAAGGAGAGAUCUAGAUAUAUAAUCUACUGAAAAUAUAUGUUACAUAGAAAAUGGAAAAUAUACAUUCCACAAUGUCUUCUAGAGAUGAUCCCAAUCUAUGCAAUUUCAAUAACUUAAUUUUUUGAAAAACAUUGCUUAUAUAAGCUUUACAAAAUCAACCAUCCGAAGUGGAAGCAAGUGAUUACAGUAUUAAGAAACAUGCACCAUCAUGGAAGAAAAGGAACCAAUAAUAAGAUUCCAUUGUCAUUUUUUUCAAUCUACAUUUGUCCACUGAUCUGAUCAAGCACAUUCUCAAAGCUUUUUAACGGAUUGAGUGGAGUGCUACAAAACUCAAGGAAUUGUCCAAAUAUCUAGAAAGUAAACAGAACUUGAGUGGAGCUAAUCUCAUAUACAGCAGAACCAUAAUAUUACACAAUGAAGUGACAGGAGGAGGAAUAAGCUGUGAUCCAUAUUCCAUAAUUAGGGAUGAACAUAACUUAUAUAUCCAGUCAUGACAUAAUUAAAUUUCUAUUUAAAAAAAUGGCAGAAUUAGAUUAAUCUCAUAGCAAAAAAACUGUGCAUAUAAGCACAAAAUAAGCAAAAAACCAUCCUCAAUAAUAACCCACCUAGCAAACAAGUGGUGAAAUACCAAACUAGAUAGUAAUCCAGUCGAGAAAGGAGGGGAAGCCACUAACCAGCAGAGGAACCAAGAAGGAGUAUGCGAGGAGGAGCAGGUAAGGAUUGGGAGACCCAUUUGCAGACAGAAACGACAUCGUUAACUUCAGAGAAUCCAGUGAGGGAAGGCCUACCGGUAGAUUUGCCAACGCCCCUCAUAUCAAAGAUGACAGAGGGGAAGCCAAGAUCGGCCAAAUUACGAGCAAUACCUUUCAUAAGGGCUUGGCAACCUCCCAAAAUUGAGUAAGGAUGAACCAGCACUACUGCCAUAUAAUUAUUAUGAUUCGUGCUGGUGGGUUUGGGUUUGAAUAUCCAGCCAUCCAGUUUUAUUCCAUCUUUCCCCUCUAUUGUGCACCUCUCCCUCGUCGUCAUUCAGAUUUCACACCCACAAGUCACAAACAAAGAAAGAACGAAGACGGUUAAGGAGAGACAGUAAAGAGGGUGAGGGAUGAGAAAGAUGAGGCUCACAGUCAGACUCGCGGUCUCGAAUGUUUUAGUCUUUGUGAGUCCCUCCCAAUCACGUUUACUAUUAGGGAAGUUAUAUUUCCGCAGCGUUUUUUUUUAUUUUUAUAAUUUUCGUUUGAGUCCAUCAUUUUUAUUAAAAAAUAUAUAGGUUUUAUAUGUUAAAAUAUCAAAAAGCAUUAUAAAAAUAUUAAAAUUGAUAUUUUUAUAACAUUUUUUUUUGAUAAAUUCACAUGUAAUAUAGUCCAUUUUUUAACAUUAAAUGGUGAAUUCCACAUACAGAAAUAUUAAAAACGCUCCGAAAAAUAUGACUUCCCUUAUUAAUACUACUACUCUACUAUCACUUUAUUUAUCGGGUGGACACCUUUAUAAUUAAAAUUUAAAUAAUAAUAAUAACAUUCCAUAAAUAUAAUUUUUAAUUAAAAACACAUAAAAUUCAAUAUCAAAUUAUUUUUUGAGGCUUUAUUUUUUGAAAUUGUUUUAUAAUCGCUCUAUUUUUAAUGAUAUCAUAUAUAUUUUGUUGUGAAAAAAUAGUUUCACUAGGUUGUUCUUGGACUAGGAAAUGACUAAUUGAUUAUUGAGUAUAUAUAUUAAAUGCAAAAAAGAUUUGGAUCGAGCACACGUUUAGUAGUAGUGUUAGAUAUUAAAAAUUUUCUUCAGUAUAUUUAUUUAUCUCGUUUCAAAAUAUCAAAUACAAAUUCACAAAAUAAAAAAAAACAAACUAAAAAAUUAAUAAUAGGAAUAAAUUAAACGCUUUAUAGUUUUUAAUCAAAAUUAUAUAUUUACAAUUUAUAUCUUUAUUAAUUUAAAUUUAACAUCUAAUAACACAUAUGCCAAAAACUUCAACAUAGAUUGUAAGGUUAAUGAGCACGUGUGAAUGUACUAAUUAGCAUGAAUGCAUAAAAACAAAUGAGAAUCAAAACUAACUAAUUGAACAUUCAUAGAUAAUUAAUUAAAAAAUUAAAGAAAUUUUAAGUUGUAAGACCCCAGCUUUUUAUAAAUAAAAUUGAAUUUUCUCUAUUCAUUAUUUUGAAAUAAUAAGGAGUUAAUUUGAUAUAAUAUUUUGGUUAUAGGUGAAAUUUGCAAAUUUUACAAAAUAAACAAGUGGUUAUAAAAUAUUUAUUUUUGUCGGGAAAUAUUCUUUUUGUCGAAAAAUAUUCGUACGACGGCGCAGCCAUUCGUGGGGCUCAUAACAGAAUAAAUGUCGGAUGAAGAAAACGACAAAGUAUGAGUUUUUAUAAAUAACGACGUAGUUGUUACCGUUAACACUGUUGGAUUACCUGGUGGUUAAAAUACAGUAAUACGCGUGGUGGCACAGUAGCACACGGUAUUGCACAGUAUUAUUGAAUUAUUGAUUCGUACGUAAGAAGGCACUACUCAAUAAUUGUUACAGUAGUUAUUGUUCAAUAUUUUAUUUUAUUGAUUCAAUAAUUGUUGCGUUGAUAUUUUAUAUUAUUGUUGUUUUAAUAAUUUUCACUGCACAAUAUUUCCCAUUAUCAGAUCAAUAAUUCAUAUUAUUUGAAUAAUAUUAUUAGAUAGCAUUAUUGACAAUGUCUAGAAAGUCCUGUCAAUGAGAGGUUUGGUCACAUAAUUGCGCGCCAAUAAGGAAAAAUCCUUAUUGGAAAGCCCCCUCUUUCCUGGGAACUGCUUGGUUGUCAUUAUUGUGAUUCUGUAAUAUUAUUUGUGAAUAAUUAAUUAUUAAUUUAUAUGAUAAGAAAAUAUUUAUUUGAUGCGGAUAUAAAUGAUGGAUUUAUUUAUGUGGUUAUAAAUGUAGGAAUUAAUGUUGAGGUGUUGUAUCAGUAUUUUGUCGGAUUGGAGGUAUUAAAAGAUCAAAUCGGUGUUCUUCAAGCUUUAUUGCGUGAGUUGGAAUUUUAAUCCGACCGUUGGAUCGUUGUGAUUUUUGGAUAUGUUAUACAUAUAUGAGUUGAGUAUAUGUCCAUAAAUUUUGAACCGUUGAAAAUUAACGCAUGAUUUGUUAUGAAUUUUAAAAGGUGAUGAAACGGUGUUGAAAAUCGUCCGUUUGUGGAUUUCGGAUAUUUUCUGUUUGAAAUUUGGAAAAAAUCAAAGCUACAAAGUUGUAGAGAAUUCAAUUUCGUGUGGAAUGGACAUAAAAUUCGUAUUUUUCUAAUAAACGGGCUAUUUUCUAUGAAUGACUAAAGUUUCGGGAAAUAAAAUAAUUUUUAUUAAAUUAUGGGUGGGACCCACUUUUUGGUUGGUGUUGAAUACACACAUGGGCUGCUGAUUUUGUCCAAGAAGGCAUGCUUGGAUUUUUCAAAUGGUAGGUGGCGUAGGAAACUAAAAAGAAAUAAUAUUAGUUUAUUAUUUUAGUCUCCUAUGGCGUUCUAACAUUUUUCUAUAAAUAGACGCUUAGGUUAGAAUUGAAAAUCACACUAGAAAUAAGUUUUCUUUCUCUCUAGAUUAUCGAGCGUAUUUUUGUGAGUAUUUAUAUACUUUGAGAGUUGCUGUUCGGUACAAGCUUCUUUCGGCUUUUAAUCCGAUAUUCUGAUCAGAAGUACCGUUAUUUUGAGGUAAGGGAUGUUAUUUUCUUCUUAAAUGAUAUUAUUUUCUUCAAUAUCAUUAUGCCGAAAUAUUAGUGAACUUUUUAAUCAAAUUUAAAAAUUUUUGUGUCGGGGUUACUAUUCACGUAUACGGCACUAUUCACCGAAAAAUGAAUUUUUUUUUUGUCCAAGAUGUCUAUUUUGGUUACUAUCUUUGAUUGUAUCCAUGUUUUGAUCGUUAUUUUUGAAUUCUGCUUCACAAUUGGUUAUUAUGAAGUAUUAUCGAUCUUGGAUAAACUUUUAUACGAAUCCCUAAUAUUUGUCCUUUUGUCUCACUGAAGUCGUUUUCUUUAAAAUAUUUUUCAUCAUCCUCAGUCUUAAAUGAUGAUAUUACUGAAUAUCUUUGGCCUGUAGUGCAAAUAUGAAUGAUUAACUGAUGAAUAUCUUUGGCCCGUAGUGCAAAGAUGAACAUGUGUUGAGAUGAACAUGACCAACUGGUGAUACAAAUGAAUAUCUUUGGCCUGUAGUGCAAAGAUGAAUAUUUGAUUAAAGAUGUAUAUUGAUUGUUGUUACAGGGAUAAAAUAUUGAUGAUGAACUUUUAAAUCUUAGAAGAUAGUAGAACUCAUUCUCUACGUGACUCUUCUAAUGGAUUGCUGUUUCCGCUGCAGUUGUUGAUCUAAAAUUUGUUGUCUAUUGUAUUCUAUCAGAUUUUUCCUGUUGAAGACUAAUGAUAAUUUGCUGUAUAUUAUCUUAGUCAUAAUAUUUUUUACUGGGCUAGUUAAGCUCACCCUUUUCCUUUUUGUUCAAUUUUUCUUCUCAGGAGGUGAGAACAUAGCAGGAUCGAGUCGGGGUAUGAAGUGAUGGUUCUAGAAAGAUGUUUUAGCAGUCCUCACUAUUUCUGUAAAAUAGUGUAUGAAUAAUUGUAAUGAGAACUUAUUUGAGUGUGAAUAUUGUUUAGAAGACAAUAUUUGUAUUUAAACUCACAGUAUGUGUUGUCGUAUUUUGCACGAUAAUUUUAUUAUUGAAGUUGUAGUUUGCUUUCUGUACUAUGUAUUUGGCGACUCAGAAUGGGUGUGGUGUAUACCUAUUUUGGGGGUGUCACAUAAAUGAUAUUUAACUUUAACUCUAAAAUUUGAAAGAAACCAAAUAGACUCAUGUAAAUAAAAAUUGAAAUUUAAGCCUUUCCAAUUCAUUCCAUUCACGAAGCUUAUUCAUACUCCCUCUGUUUUUAAAAGAUUGUCGUUUAAGGUUAAUGCACACAAAUUAAGGAAUGUAAUUACUAUCUAUGAAAAAUACUAUACUACCCUUAUUAUAAUUAUCUGCAUCAAUUAUUAACUUUGUAGAUUUCAAAAAGGAGUAUCAUUCAAUUAAUGCCAAAACUAUUUUCCCGCCUAAAACUUAUACUAAAUGAGCCAAAAAAAAUUCUAUACAAUAGACAGACGAGUUUUUUUGGCAUUAUUAUAUGAAUAAGCAUCAAGGGAAAAUAGUUUUGGCAUUAAUUGAAUGAUACUCCUUUUUGAAAUCUACAAAGUUAAUAAUUGAUGCAGAUAAUUAUAAUAAGGGUAGUAUAGUAUUUUUUAUAGGUAGUAAUUACAUUCCUUAAUCUGUGUGCAUUAACCUUAAACAAUAAUUUUUUAAGAACAGAUGGAGUACUAUUUUUGUAUAUUUCUUGCUAUACUAGAAGGCGCUAGAAUAUAGUAGGAAUGCAUAUGACAUGCAAGAAACAAGGAAGUUUGUACAUAAAACUUUCUAGGAACUUACUUCUAAUUGUAGGAGGCGAGAUGGCUAUAAGCAGAAGGUGAUCUCAUUUGUCAAAACCAUCGAAUAGAAUUCAAUCCAAGGUCAUUCUAGCGAAACUAUUUUCUGAGCAUUCUUGUGUAAUAAAAUUAUUCUUUUUUUUUAAAGUGCUCUUUUAUUUUUUAUCAAGUUUUUUUACUAGUUCUUGUAGUGUUUACUUGGUGAGAGGUUUACUUAACAACUUUCUAUGGAGAUCGUCGUCUAAAGUUGCACGGUAGGGCUUAGAAUUAUCUAAGGCCAUCUCCAACAGGUCGGAACUCCAUCAACAGAGAUGAAGCCCAGAUUUAUUUUUAGGGGGGGCAAAAUUUUUUUUAACAAAAAAAGGAUACUCGAAAAGAAUGCAUUGAUAUGGACCGUAAUUGGUGUAAGCUCGUCGAACUUCAUCGCACCACAACAUUUCCAUAUUUCGAUACGUUUUCCAGGAUCACACUCCAAAUAAUUAAUAUCUCAUUCUUUACCUUCAAUUCUUAGUGAUUUUAGAAAACGUUGUUAUUGUUUAGAAGUAGGCAGAAAUGUUUGAACAUUAGACUCAUGGGUAAGUAGAGAUGUGUCAACAUGAUUUGAUUACUUUCUCUUGAAAAAUGAAUCAAUAAUAUGUGAUCUUUCCAUGAUUUUAAAACAAUAAUAUUAUUGGACCAUUUAUUGAACUUUUUCAUAAUAAAAUUUUCAUAAUUUUGCAAUCAAAUAAGUAAAGUUUUAGUUGGUUACCGGAAAACAAAUUGAAUAUGCAACUGGAAUUAACAUAUACAAUAUUAUGAUCACUCAUUAAACUUUUAAAAAUUUAAAUAUCAAAUUUUGUAAAAUAAACAAAGAGUAAAAAAAAUUAAAUAAAGGUUUAAGUUGAUUAUCUGGAUACAAAUAUAUCAUUCAAUUGGAAUAACACAUACAAUAUUAUGCUCCAAUUAUACAAAAUUAGAAUUAUAAUAAAUUUAAUAAUGAUACAUUUUGGGGUGGACCUUGUAAAUUUUACGCACUUUACAGACUUUGCAUAUAUAUAUGGACGUGGUUUUCCUCUAUAGAGUACGAGAAAAGAAGCAAGCAAGCAAGCAAGCAAGCAAGCAAGCAAAUAGAGUACUAGCAAGACCAGUAAACACAAAAUGGAAUGGAACACUAAUUCUCAUCUAAUCUGCAAUGUCCGAUCCUCAAAUUCAUGCACCCCCUCAAAACAUUCUUCAACACCUCAUUUUCACAUUCCCCUCUGAUUUCUUAUCUCCAUUGCUACGGCCGGGACUGAAUUAAUUUUGCCACUCCAAAAAUGCUUCAUUUCUUUUCAAUUUCCGACCUCAGCAUUCCAUUCUCUACCUCAAGUUGGCGCUUCACAUCCAAACACGUCUCUGACACGUUAGCAUUUCCCUGCACAUUUGAACCUAGUCCCGCCUGGUUUGUAUCUUUCUUAUCCUCCUCCGCCACCUGUUCGAUUCCAAUUUUGUUCAUCACCAGCACCGGAAACUUCUUCAACGAAUUCCCAGCCGUUGUUUGAUUACUCUUCAUCAGCAACGACCCCGCCGCCGCCGCGUCCUCCUCCUCAGCAGGCAACCUCACGCCCCAUCGGAAGUUCAUUACAGCACGCUUACUCAGCGGCAGACUAGUCCUCGCGCUCAUCUCAAUCCCCGAGAAAAAGUCCUUUACCAUGCUGGCGGCUGGUACCUCCGGCGACAAAACAGUGAAUUUCUUUCCGUGAAACAAACCGUUAUCAACAAAGUAACCGUUGUUCACAACCGCUGGCGCCUCAACAACUUCCGACGUUUUGUCCUCACCAGAAACGAUGCCGUUCCCCUUUGAUUUCAAGCUCUUGACAAAAUCCGACGACUGCGAUUUCUUCAGAGUAAAAUCACCUAACUGAGGCUUGAAAUGAACGAAAAAUCGAGGGUUUUGAUUUCCUAUGAUAUUGAAUUCGGCGCCCAUGGUCAAGGAGCUUGCAAUUGGGGAGCCCAAGUGUCCAAUCCCAGACUUGAAAACGAGACCGAAAGGAUUGAAUGAAUCGUUGGGUCGAUAAGAGAGCUUGAAAGAAGGACCGGAAUCCAAGAAAGUACUUAGAUUUAAAGUGAGCUCUUUGGAUUCUCCGGCGACGAUUCCUGACUGGAAAGGAAACCCUAAGAUACUCAAUCGUAGUUUAGCUCGAAUCAGUGGAUUUUGCUCAUCCCGAAACUUGACUGAUGCUUUCAUCUUCUUCCCAAAACAAAAAACCUAAUUGUUUUACCACUCAGCCAGAGAGGCAGGGGGGAUAAGUGGAUUGUUUGAAUUGAUUUGGAGAAGAUGAGUUGGGGUCUUGGGGGACCAGGUGAUGUGUUUCAUCGGACUCUGAAUUUGGAAUGUGCACCGCACGUAUAUUGUCAAAAAUACCCUUUUGUUUUACAAAACAAAAGGACAGUGACGGUUAAAUGAUGGAGUUGUUUAAAUUAUGAGGAUGAAGGAGGGUAUUACAGAGAGAGUGGAUAGUGUUGAAUAGUUUAUGAAUCUUGUGGGCUCCUCUCUAUAAUUUGUUUGUGUAAUGAGAUUUUGAAUUCUUGUUGAAAGACAUUAGUGAUUAACAUGAAAUUAAUUUUUAUCAAUUGAUUAAUAUAAUAUUAAUAUAUAAAUUAGAGAUGAUUUUUUUUUUUACAUAUUAACACUGUAUUGAUAACAUUAACAAAUUCUAUUCUAAAAAUAUCAAUUUUCUUUUAAAAUUAUGGACGAGUGGAUAGAGAGAACUACACUGAACAACAAUUCUUUGAGUUUGAUGGUAGAGCAAGAAAAUUACUCCAUCCGUCACUUUUUAAUUCGCGUUUUAUGCUUAUGUAUAUAAAUAAAUUAAAAAAUAUAAUUAAUAUUUUAUUUGAUUGAUUAAAAUAAAUAUAAAAUUUUAAUAUUAGUCUUCUAUAAUUUAUUAAAAAAGAUAUCAGAGAAGUAAAUUAGCCUUUAAUUAUAAAGAAUAAUAUAAGCAGAGGGGUUGAACGCAGAGUUCUUCGUUCUCGAUAUCUCGCCGUCAAAAAUCUUAUAAGCGGUCGCUAUUUCUAUUUGUUCACUCAAUUGUUCUUUCUUACUUCAAUUUUCUCUCUCUCUCUCUCUCUCUCUGUGUGUGUGUAUAUAUAUAUAUAUGCGCGCGUGUAGCAUAUUUUUAUGUACUUAUAUUGGUUUUGCAGAUGAGAGAGAUGAUAUAUCAAGGGUUGAUUCUGAUAAGUUCAAGUCUAUUCUUGAUGAAGUCGAGAACUUGCAUCAGCUUGGUAUAUAUUUGUCAAUAUAGCAUUGGUUUUUUCAAUUUAUUAAUAUCAUAUAUUUUUAUGAGGUGAUAUAAAUAAAAAGUUUGUUCCCCAAUAAAGCUUGUUUUUUUUGGUUUUGUUUUAGUUUGUCUUCAAGUUGAUUAUUGCUAGCUCACAUUUUCUUUAUGAACAUUUUUGUUUUGCAUAUUUAAAUAAUGUGGAUUCUCAAUUUGGUUUUCAGUACAAAAACCUCGGGAACAGGUUGCAGAUGCGGAAGCUCUGCUAGACAUUACAAACACUUUGAUGACUUCUGUAAAGGCACAUUGCAAUGAAGGAGUGACCCCUUCAGAAUUUGUAGCAUGUUUGCUUAGGGAUUUUGGGGGACAAGGGGGAGCAAGUACUAACACAGGCGAAGAUAGAAGUUCUGUUGAUUGGAAAAACAUUGGGCUUGCCACAUCUCAUGUUUUAUAUAGGGCCAGUGGAUGUUGCGCAAUGUAAGAACCAUUUCAUGAUUGCAUCUCACUCUCUUUGUGCUUAUAUACAUGAGAUUAGUAUCGAGUUAUUGUACACCUUUUUUACAGGCUUGGGCCUAUGAAUACUGAAUUGAAGCACCGUAAAGUCAUUACUAGCAGAAAAAAGCACACGAGACCAGCAGAAAGUUCUCGUCCUGAAGAGGUGAAGUGCAGCAUCCUAGCCUCUCUUUUCUAACUACACUUUCUUUUAGUCAGAAAUACCUUUGUAAAUAGUAAUUACUGAUAUGGCUUGUAGUUGUAACUGAACAAAUUGGUAGAAGGUGGGAUGUUAGAACUAGAUAAUAGUAUUCUACUACAACUGGGAAGAGGUAUAGUAGUACUGGGUUAGGCAAUCUGAGAUGUUGAAUUUUUAAUGACUGAUAACCUUCAUCUAAGCUGCACAAGACAUUAGGCCAGUGGAUUAUGUUAUGAGAGUUGCUAUUCAUUAAUCAUUUUUGGCAUAACCUGAAUGGUUCAUGAAAGUAAGUCAAUAAACUGAUAUGUAUUAUAGCACAGGAUGCUUUAAUCUCCUUGUGGUUCUUAUUAAUGUUCUUACUCUUAAUACUUUAUUGAUGCUGUUAUGGGGAGAACAAUGAUCAGUACUUUUAGGCAAACGGUGAACAUACUAUUACUUGACAGUAUUUUUUCUUCUUUGAAUUAUAUUUUAUACUUGAGACAUCUUUUAUGGGACAGAGGGAGUAUUAAGUUGUUAUUUGAUAUAUACACAGUGGGAUUCUAUUUAAAAAUUGUAUUUAUUUUCUGCCUUCUUAUGUGUAGCUUGAUCAAACCUCUACAGAAGAGAGAACAGAGACUGAUAAGAAUAUGGCGAUUAUGUUUGAUAUAUUGAGGAAGAAUAGGAGGGUAAGGCUUGAAAAACUAGUGUCGAACAGAAACUCCUUUGCACAGACAGUAGAAAAUUUGUUUGCUCUAUCAUUUCUGGUUAAAGAUGGGCGGUCUGAGAUAACAGUGGAUGAGAAGGGAUGCCAUUUAGUUAGUAAGAUCUUUCACAAGUAAUCAAGUUUUAGUUUAAUUUCUCUUUUGCUGGCUUUGUUUAUACAUGUAACAUAUUUAUCUAUUUAUAUGUCAAUUGCUUAUUUCAGCACCUAGGAAUGCUCCUGCUGCAGAUGCAGUUGCCUCUGGAGAGGUUACUUACAACCACUUCAUCUUCAGAUUUGACUUUAGGGAUUGGAAGGUAUUUAAACAAGUAAGCUUGUUGUUUUGUUUUUGUAAUUUUUUAAUCUCGUUUGCUGUUGGUUAGCACUUGUUUCUGGCACUGUACUUGAUCAAGCCAUUGUGUAUAGUUUGUAUGAUCUGUCAUCUCUUUCUUCCUAAAAAGAGAAAUGGUUGCCUUUGAGCACCUGACUUUACACUUGAACCAUCUCUCCCAUCCAGGUUCAACGUGAAUAGGCAAAACAUAGGGAUAUUUUCUUUGGGAUGAGCCCAAAAAAAUUCGAGUUGAACUUUGGACACCCUGCUAUUUUAUUGAACAAGCUUUUGCAUGGACUUCUUUGAUUUUUUUUCCUCUUAAAAGUAGUUGUUGGAUGUGGUACUUGAUGUUGUGUUAAUUUUCUUACAUGCUCCCAAUAGUUUGUGGUUUAUUUGAAGUUGGUGGUGUUGUAAUUCUUUGUAAUUUAUAAUUCACAGUUAAUGAUGGAUUCUAUUGGGGUUGGAGAGGAGCUUAUGCCAAACAGAAACUCUGCAAACAUAUUGAGCAAUUUGGAACCAGACUCUUCACCAGAACAAACCCGAGCUGCAUUGCCAACGACACCAAUCAGAAAACUGUCGAGGAAUCGUGGUCUCGUAUUGCAGGAACAGACUGUUGUGGCAGACUCGCCAGAAAGUGAUGAUUCAGCAGCAAGAGCUGCUGCAAUACACAAAGGGAAGCGGAAGCUUAGAUGAUAUUUGAUGCUGAACAGAGCUCUCCAGUUGUAGAAAUCUAGGAGCACUGAUUAAUUAUAUUCAUAGCUUGAUUUUUGUGCUGGUGGAGUUGUGGUUAGGCCAAAUAGCUCUUUGGUUUGAGUAUAUAAAGUUGCAUUAUUUGUUCUUUCAUUGGUGCCUGAUUAGAUUUUGGAUGAUUUUAUUUGGUCAUAGUCUACAUUUAGUUGAUAAUCUAUCUCUAAUUAUCAAUGCUUAACUUGUGCCUCUCUUUUUCUGUGUCUAUGCUCGAUGCUUGUUUUUGAUGUUCUAUUGACAAGUAAGAUCCAAGUAGGUAAAAUCUUCAUCUGAAAUUUCAUAAGAACAUGUCUUUAUAGUUUGGAUUGUGUUUGAAGCAACGCGGUUACCAUAUUUGACGAAGCUUGAGAGCCUCAGAAGGCUCUUAAUCAUACUACUGACAACUGUGAAAUAACAAAACUUUACAGAUAGCUUCUCAAGUUAUUGACGCUCAAUUUCUACUCAGCCUCGGGUGUGGCCCUAGUGUUUUUUUUGUUGAAGUUCUAUUUUGGGUAGUACAAUGUGUCUUAUCAUAUUCAAGUACGUAAUUACUAUUACGCAAUUUGAAUAUAUGUGAGGGGAUUUUUUCUUUCUUUGUGGAGAAUCUGUUGGAGUUGGCAUUUGGGCUUACAGUGAUAGGUAUCACAAAGCAUGGUACAUUGGAAGGUUAUUAGAGUCAUGAUCCAACUUGUAGCAACCUUGCUUCUCUUCGUUUUGAGUUUUGACCAUGCCUAAAACCCAAUUUUAAAUUGUUUUUUUUAAAAAAACUUUCAGGAUAUGGUAAAUAUGAUAAUAUCUAGGCAUUUUAAAUGAAAACGACUCGAGUGUGUAGUUGAUCAUGAUAAUAAUUAUUGCUUCCAUUAGUAUCUUCACUAAUAGGCAAUAGCUGUUUCAUAUAAACUUUAUAAAGGUUACAAUUGUGAAGCAAGUAUAGUAUCUGUUAUUAGCCGUAAAUAACAUUUAACAAACAAUUUUCUACUUUCAUGACAUUUCCUAGUUUUACUUGGGGUGUUGUGUACUUCAGUUUCUCGAUGAUCAUAUUUUUCUUUUUAAGGAAACUGAUAAAUCCAUAACAAAAAAUGUUAUUUCUACAUGAUACAUCUAUAGCGACACUUUUCAAUAAAAAUAUCAAACAAUAUUGUGAAAAUAUGAAUUUCCUUUUUUUAAUUAUCUAAUUUAAACGAAGUGAAACUUGCAGGCUCCAAUGGCUGGUUAUACACACUACACAUUUCCAAGGUGGCAAUGUCUACAUCUGACAUAUUAUCGAACAAUAUGAAAAAGAAGAGAUGGCUAGCAUUUAUUGUUUAUAUAAUCAAAAUUUCUCGAUUGUCCGAUUGAUUGUCAUGCUACAAGACUAAUGCCCACUACCUUCAGCUCUUGUUGUCUUUCGGAAUGUCAAGAUCUUUAAAUACUGGGCUGUCAACUCCCACCCCCAUUGCAUUCAGACCAUUGUCAACAUACACAACAGCACCAGUGAUGGCUGAAGCUAGAGGUGACGCCAGAAAAGCAGCAGUGUUCCCCACCUCCUCUGUUACAUUCAUAGUUCAGGAUUAAUAUUGGCAAGCAACAAAGAUGCAAUAUAUAUUAAGGUUGACUUUAAACUUUGUGUAUGAGCAGAGCUACUGUCUUGACUGUUUAUGCUGACCCACCAUGGCAUUCUCACAUUCAGUUUCCUAGCAGUAGCCAUUUAGCAAUUGAUUUCCAAAAGUGAGACCAAAUUGAUGACUAACCUGCCGAUAGUUCUCUUUGCAAGGGUGCAUUCUCUGUGGAGUAAUCAAUCAUCAUAUCAAUAAAACCAAUAGCUUUUGCAGCACGACUUCUUAAUGGUCCUGAUGCAUAAUUUUUAAGUCGUUAGGUAAAACAAGUCUCUGUAGCAGCUGAUCUAGCAUUUAUUUGUAUCAACAUGAAUGUCCUGUGGGGAUAGAAACAUUACAGUUGAUUUCCACCAACACACAAGUUAAAAGACAACCAAUUGUUUUGAUUCGAGAAUCAAUUGGAACAAACACCCNNNNNNNNNNNNNNNNNNNNNNNNNNNNNNNNNNNNNNNNNNNNNNNNNNNNNNNNNNNNNNNNNNNNNNNNNNNNNNNNNNNNNNNNNNNNNNNNNNNNNNNNNNNNNNNNNNNNNNNNNNNNNNNNNNNNNNNNNNNNNNNNNNNNNNNNNNNNNNNNNNNNNNNNNNNNNNNNNNNNNNNNNNNNNNNNNNNNNNNNNNNNNNNNNNNNNNNNNNNNNNNNNNNNNNNNNNNNNNNNNNNNNNNNNNNNNNNNNNNNNNNNNNNNNNNNNNNNNNNNNNNNNNNNNNNNNNNNNNNNNNNNNNNNNNNNNNNNNNNNNNNNNNNNNNNNNNNNNNNNNAAAAUAUAUUGGAGACGCAUUUUCAGGAACUGACAUUUGUUUAAACAAUAAAUUCAGUUUCAUCUAUUGGCAUUACCUGCAGAUAUAGUGUUGACUCUGACUCUAUGUUUCCUUCCAGCUUCAAAGGCCAGAACCUUCAUAAAAUUUAUUUGAUGAUCCAUCAUGUAUAAUAGAAAUAGAUAAAUGUUUAACAUGGUAGGGUGAACCAGAAUUACUAAUAUAAAAGACUCACUCUUGUGUCACUCUCUAAAGCAGACUUUGCUGAACUCAUGCCUCCACCAUAUCUACAUGAUGGAAAAAGAUACAGAGAAAUGUGAUACUAAGAUGAUCAUAAAUGAAUCAUGGUCUAUAUGAGUAAACAGCAAGGGGAUUUACCCUGGUAUUAUCCUUUCAGAAGCAAUGUAGGUUAGAGAAAUAGAAGCACCACCUGCAAUAGACAAGCUCAAACUUUGCCAAGAAUCUUUAUAGUGCAUAACACAACAGUUUUUUUGCUCAACUAAAAAGAAGAAAGUUUGAAAAGAUACUCAGAUUGGAAGAGAACCAUGCCUGGAUUCAUAAUUGGGACAAAAUGCCUGAGUAAAGAAACAAACGAAUAACUAGAAGCAGAGAUGGCUGCAAGAUAUCCAUUCCUUGAUGUCUCCAAAAGCGGUUUGGUAACCUGCAUGGCAUGCUUUAAUACUUCAUCGUGAAAAUGGUAAAACACUAACACACACACAAAUAUAUACCUCAGGUCCAUUGGCAAGUGAGUGGAUCAGGAUGUCAAUGCUGCCAAAAUCCUGCUUAACUGAUUCAGCAACUUCCUGCAAAACAUGAAUAAUCAUACAACAAUUACCAUGCACCUCAUCUCAACUGUUCCAUGGUAAAUUUUACUGAAAUUAACUCAAGUUAAACUGACUCAAGACAUUAUAAAAGAGACAAAUCAGAUGGUUGUUACUGAAACUGUUUAUUCCUCCUAAAGCCAAUUUCAAUUUGUCAAAGGUUCAUAACUCAAAUAUACGAGUGAAGUGGCUUCACUUCACUACUUAUCAAUUUCAGACAACCUCUCUCAUACACCUUAUUCACUACUUAUCCCCACCGAGAGUUGGCAUACCAGAUGCAAAUAAACAUCGACAAACAAUGCAUAACAUGCAAACGAACCUCGACAAACAAUGCAACAACGAGGCUUGACUUGCAGGACUCCAAAUCCCCAACUUUGAUACCAUGUUACACUGUCCCCACACAUAUUAAAAGGGUCAGUGGCGAAGCCACAUAGAGUUCUAUGGGGUCAAUCGCCCCCACUGAAAAAAAAAUUGCUUUAUAAUGUAAGGUAAAUUUUAAAAUUUUUAAGUAUUAUAUAUAAAUUGACCCCACUAAAGUUUUAUAAAUUUUCUAUUAUACAGGGUCAAAUUAUAACUUUGUCAAUCAAAUUUUAACCACAUAUGACUCAUAUCCUCUUAAUAUACGUAUCUCUCUAUAAUAUUUUAAACUAAAUAAUAAUAUAUUAUUUUUUAAAAAAAAUAAUGAAUUACUUACUUAUGAACAGUUGUAAUUAAAAAAGUCUAUUAUGAGUCAAUAUAUUGUAUAUAUAUCAUAUAUUAUUACUCAUUAUAUUUUCAUUGUAAUAUAGUAUAUAUAUAUAUACUCGAAAGUAUAAAGUAUUAAAAAAAAUUGGCUCGGGGGCGCUGCCCUCGAACCCCGCCAAAUUAUUUGCAACUCAGUAAUAAUUUCGCCCCCACUGACAACAGUUUCUGGCUUCGCCAUUGAAAAGGGUAACAAGUAUUGAAGCCCAAAAGUAGAAUACGAUAGUUUGGUAAACACUUGUACUUACCAAUAUGCAAGAUCUCAUUAACUGGGAAAAGUACAAUUAAAGAAAAGGUUAAAAAAUAAUCAAGCACUUAGCAAACUCACAAACACACACUCUCAUUCUCUCAAUCAGCUGGAGUCCUCUUAAUUUUGUUAAGGUUUUUCUGGUGAGCACAUAUGUAGCUUGUAUGAGUUUUGCAUUUAAGCAUUCUGUAAUAACAUCAUAAGUUGUCACUCACUUUUGGUAAUCUGCUACCUCGAAAUCAUAAGCAUGCAUGACAGCCAAUAUCAGUUAUUUCAAUGCAUAAGUUUAUUAAAUGGUUAGGUUUCUUUGUUCAUUAUUUAAUUCAAAAAUGGAUUACCCAUCAAAUAAGCAGAAUAAAAGUGAAUUUCUAGUUUUAACCAAAAAUAUUAAAAUCAAAAAGUAAUACCUUAACCGUCCACUUUGAAGACCCUGCAUAACGUUUAUUUGAUUUUAUCUGCAUAAUCCACAUAAAAAUUUUAAUUUUAACAAUGGAAAAUUUGAAAAUUAUACGAGUGCUUUUAACUUACAUCUUCAGGAACAUCCUCAAGGCUGUCAAAAACUGCAUCCAAAGGGUAAACUUUUGUGAUCUCCAUCAGUGAACCAUCUGGCAACCUACAACAGCAAUUCUAACCCAUUAACCAUCACUUAGCAAACUUCUAACCAUCUGAGCAGAAUUGAAGACAACACUAUAUUCUUACACCCGUGAUCCAUCAAACUUCCCACGUCGAAGACUGGACUCAAAAAUGUUCAGCGCCUGCAUGGACAUACAUUUAUUUAUUAGGAACACAUGUUAGGCAGAGGCUGAAUUUUAGCAUUAUAAAAUCUAGAUUAAGAUACGUACAGGCACCCAUGUACCAACAAGAAUUUCAGCACCUGCGGCAGCAAGAGAUUUUGCUAUUGCCCAUCCAUAUCCAUUAUCAUCGGCAAUACCAGCUAUAAAUGCCCUCUUUCCUGCAAGAGAAAACCUCUUCAUGUUAGGUCAUCCACUACCAUAUCCACAUUGUGUGAGUGUGUGAGACACUAUGACCAACUAUUCUGAUUUCUUUUGAUGUGUUUUCAGGUAAAAUUAAAUAUAUACUGAAGACGAAGCCACCCCACAUUAAAGAUCCACCCAUUCAAUAAAGAACUAACAAAACCCUCAUAAGGAGGAGAAAGUAAUUUUAUAAAGUAAGAUCGUUACUAAAAAGGAAACUCGGUCAAAAGCUACCCAUCUUAUUGACAACAAGGCCAAAGAGCAUUAGUGACAUUUCAAGUUCUCCAAAAUCCACAAGGAAUUCUCCACAUCACUUAUUAGUUCUUAUUGUCUUAUAUGCUAAGAUUUUAUUCCAAAACAAGUUUGCUUUUGCAGUUGGCAUUCUGGUCUCGCAUGAGGAACAGGAGGUUCCCUUAAUUCGCUUGACUUCCAUUACAAUAUGAUUGAAUAAGCUAUUAAAUUUAGGAAUCUGACAAAUAGUUUACUCAAAUCAAUCAUAAUCAAACCAACCAGGCAAUCAUUUCCACAAUACUUCAAUCACCAUCUGCAGUUUAGGCUUGCCUUUUUAUUUUCCUUCAUCCGCUCUUUCAUUCUAGCGAUGAUGCAUGUUGCUACAGUUUCAUACCAUGAUGGAGGAACUUUCCUAAUGUGAACCUUUGUCUUAAAUGUAAACCUUAUCCUGAAGGCCGAUACUUAUCUUUUCUGACUUACAGUGUGUUAGACAUUUUCAAUCCAAAUAGAAAAUGUGUAACGACAGAUACAACAAAACCUAAGCACUAAUUGUCACAGUUAUAGAUUAGUUUGUAUGUUUUGAGAAAAGUUGCAAAAGUGAAGGACAAUACAGUUGCCUAUUGCAGCCGCAAAGUCAAAAGUUCAAAACUGUGAUGUCAAAUUCAAUUUGGAGCAAUGUAAUUAUGAUUCUGAACCCAAAUCUUGGCAUCAAUGCAAACUCGAAACUUGCAUGCCAUUUGGUUCUAAUGCAAAUGCAAAGAUGCAAAGAGUUAAACACUGAAAUAUAAUGUUCAAAAUGCAACAAAACGUCUAACCUCUCAAAUCAAUUGGCAAUCCAGGAAGGGUCUUGAUCUCACUUGCUUCAGACAUUGCUUUUGUAACAACCCUUUCAAAUUUUACAGGAGCACAUGUCAACCUCUGAGACAAGGAUCUUGUGGCCGAUAUGUGGCAUGAGCUUUUAAGACUUGUCCAAGAUGCCCCUCUAACUUCCGUACCCAAAAUACCAAUGCUUGGCUUUGAAACUUUGUGGGAAGCAGUAACGCAAAGUUUAUCUGUUGCAAUUGCCGCUGCCGCCAUUUUCCAAGAAGUUAUAUCACUUCAACAAACAACAGAUCUGCAAGGGACACCGAAAUCACUAUCAAGAAUUACAAUACUUCAUAUUUGAUUUUCAAACAUAUACAAUGAUUGAUAUAUACAUACAUAUUUAUAUAUGUAUAUGUUUAUUUAAUGCAUUUCAAAAAUUGACUUAGGACCAUGUAUUCAGAGAUUGUUUUUACUUUUUACGAAUUUAGGUGGCUUAUACGACUACUUACAUUUGUCAUUCAUCGAAAAGACCAUCAUAAAUAUGUCUAAACUCAUUUUAAAUCCUGAAAAAUGAAUCCUUUUGUGGUAUAAGAAAGAUUUUAGGACGGAGGGAAUAUUUGAGAAAAUAUGUCUAAACAAAGUUGAGCAAUGUCAGUUCACCAAGGGCAAUUCACUAAUUUGCAAAAAGAAAUUAGCACGAUAAAAAAGUCAGGAAAAAACAUAAUUAGCGAUAGACAAUAGCCUCAAUUAGUUUUACUGUUAAUCACUGUUCAGUAUGUAUAUAAAGAUAAAUAACUUAGCACUUUAAACAGCUGUAGCUCCCAAAAUGACAUUAAGAUUAAUAAUAUCACACACUUCCGUAUUCUGAACAGAAGAUCCAAGUUUGUAAUGCUCAACAAUUAUAAAAUAGAGUACAACACAACAGAUUUAGUGGAAAAAAACAAAAGAACCAUCAAUUGAUUAAAUGUACCUUUAAAAAAAUUGAAUUAAAAAAAUAAACACCACUCAUAAUGAUACUGCAUUUUCAAAUAACAGAGAUAAAGACGAUCACUUCUGUCCCUCUCUUAAACCCCUUAAGAACAAGAAUUCAAUUAAAUCAGUAAUGUAAAGCUCGAAACUUUACAAACCCCAGAUCAAUGCAGCAAAUCAAAACUACAUUUUCCAUUAAACAUAACAGAUGAGCUUAUUUUAGAGAUUUUUUAUCGGACGAUUCGAAGCUAACCUUUUUAUUUUCCUCGUUCUUAUCGAGAAAAGAGGGACAGGAGAGAGAAAGUAAGAGUUGGGGCUUUUUGCGCGUUAGCGUGGGGGUGUAUAUAUAUAUAGAGAGAGAGAGAGAGAGAGAGAGAUGGGUUUCGAUGAAAUCGAAGCUGUGCUAACAGUAACAGCGUCUUUUUGCAAACUGUGGGUUAAGUUGAGCUUUGGAAAUGCCGGAAGGGACAGGUGGAAGAGGGGUUUAUUAGUUUUGUGAAUAGACAGUUUUAUCCCCUUUUCAAAAAUAUGGGUCUUUUUUCAUUCCCACCGGACCGACCGCUCACAAAAUGCAUUUGGUGCAACUGUUGUGCAAGGAUAAAGCUUCUUAAAAUAGGGAUGUCAUGCAAUGAUCGUUUUGGGUGCACAAAAUUGAAUCGUAAAAUUUUAUAAAAAAAAUAUAAAAAUUAUUUUAAUACGAAAACAUAGUUCUACUACGCAACACUUAUCAUAUAUAUAUAUAUAUAUAUAUAUAUAUAUAUAUAUAUACUAGCGAUAACCUGUAGGCAUUGUAUAAUUUAAAUGAACACAAAAAAAUGAAGCACUGAAUAUGAACACACACUAAACUAAAAGCCUAAAUUAAUUCUUAACACACCCGCACUUCAUACAUACUCCAGAAAGCAUUUAAAUAAAAAUUCUUUUGAAGACAAAUUUCAAUGAAUAAAUAAAGAAUAUCCAACUUUAAUAGUCAAAUUCUCAUAAAUUUAAGCUAAGUUUAACUUCAUUUCAAGAUUUAUUUUUUAUUACUUAUAAUACUUUUUGAUUGAUUGUAACUUUUUAAAUAGUAACUUGACAAUUAAAAAUUAUUGUUUGCUUGUUAUAACAACUCUCUUUUUUUGUCGCACGUAGAUGGGUAUACAGUUUCGCAGAUCCGUAACUUGAUUCAAAAACUGAUUGUAGGUGGUUAUAUAAAUUUAGGAUUAGCUCAACAACGAAGUUUAAAAAUAAAUUUAGGAUUGCAGGUCGUUAUAUAUAUAGAUCUAUAUAUAUGUUCAGCAAAACAAUAGAAGUCUUUUCUACCAAGUAAGAAAAUAUACCAUGAGCCAGAGAAUGGGACUGUAUCUCAAACUCGAAGACAUCUAAAUUAUGAAUUGGAAUUUAAGUAAUCAAUUAAUAAUUUUUAUCUCCCUCAAAUAUUUCACUCCAAUAUAAUUUGCACACGUAUUAAAAAAAAUAAAAAUAAAAGAGAAUAUUUUUUUAAAAAAAAUUUAUCUUUAAUAACCUUAUAAGAUUAUAUAAAAUGAUAAGUACUUUUAUGUUUUUAUACUAAUAAAUCUUACUAAAUGACAUAUUUUCAUUUAUACUAAUAAACCUUACUAAAUAACAUAUUUCCUCUUUGCUUUAUGUACCUCUUUUUUAUCUCCUUUUUGAAGACAAAAAAUUGUAUCUUUAGUCAAAAGGAGGGAGUAAUAGACAGUUAUUAAAGAUGCACAAAAUCAGUAACAAAACAAUAGUCAGUUAACUUAGAAAGCAAGGUGCACCAUGUAUAGAACAACUUUUUCUGUUCAAAAUAACCACACAAGAUGAUAAACCUCUCAAUCUAGAAAUAGUGACUAAAAGAAUCAAAUUGAGCUGAAACAUGAUACUCCCAACAAAAUUUUCUGCUUGGAAAAUCUAUAUUUCUAUCUUAGUACUUGACUGGAGCAAUUAUGUCGAGCUGGGAACCAAGCUUCUCCUCAGUAAGCUUCUCAACUUUCACCCUCAAUUUGGUCAAUUGCUUCUUCUUCUCAUAGACUUCCUGAGCCCUUUCCUUCUUAUUCUUCUCAAGCUCCUGCAGUGAACAUCAUAUUGACUGAGGAAUUCAGUUAUAAAAAGAGACUUAGUGUACUCAAUAUCCAGCGACGAUGAAUAGUUUAAGGCCAAGCAACACAAUGGAAUCUCUUACAAAGGAAAACCACCA